ACGACAAUAAUGUGAAAGCUUUAGAAGAGGAUCUGGAGAAGAAGAAAGCAGAACUGGCUGAUUGUCAGAAGGAAUUGAAAGCUGCGCAAGAAAAAGCCUAUGAUAAACUAACACCAGAAGUGAAAAAAUUGAUCAUGUUACA